GUAGUCACGAGUUUGAUCAUGGCUCAGGAUGAACGCUGGCGGCGUGCCUAAUACAUGCAAGUCGAACGGAGAUUGUAGCAAUACGGUCUUAGUGGCGAACGGGUGAGUAACGCGUUGGUAACCUGCCCCGAAGCGUGGGAUAACGGUCCGAAAGGACCACUAAUACCACAUGUGAUCCCGAGGAAUAGAUACUUGGGAUGAAAGGAGCAAUUCGCUUCGGGAGGGACCUGCGUCCCAUCAGCUAGUUGGUAGGGUAACGGCCUACCAAGGCGAUGACGGGUAGGGGACCUGAGAGGGUGGCCCCCCACAAUGGAACUGAAACACGGUCCAUACACCUACGGGUGGCAGCAGUAGGGAAUAUUGGUUAAUGUGCGAAAGCGCGAACCAGCAACGCCGCGUGUGCGAUGAAGGCCUUCGGGUCGUAAAGCACUUUUUGUCAGGGAAGAGGAAGGACGGUACCUGCAGAAUAAGUCUCGGCUAACUACGUG
rnacentral:rRNA from 1 species